rnacentral:rRNA from 1 species
UUAGGAUUUUGAAUUUCUCAUUUAGCGGCCUGAGGACUAGGUAUGUGCCCCCUCCCCUGGUCACUUGAUAAGUUGAUAUACCAUUAACUACAUUGAAUUAGUACAAUUUUCAACCAAUUUAAAGGAAGAGAUGGACCUGCCGAUGCCGCUGAUGGUGUUUCACGCUACUUUUUUAAACAAAAAUCAGGUAUAUCAUCAAGCCGGAUUAAGAUUACACGAGCGUUCAGCACUGACGCCACGUGGAGGUGAACCUGUCGCGGUGUCGGCGAGCAAGACUGCACUGACGAGGCAGGGGCCACCAGGCGGCCACACGUACGCCGCCUACGUGGCACCCGUCCGGGUCCGAAUCAACACGUGUCACCAGCAGCGCGUCUUCAAUCCAGAAAGAUCUGCCACCACGACCAGCACAGCACUCCCCGCUCCAUCCCCCCAACCCGCCCAUCCGUUCCCCACUUCCAUUCACGACCUCUCGCCGCGCCUGCAGAUGGCCGAAUCCGACACGGCGGACGGCAAGAUGGCCGAACCCGACGCGGCGGACGGCAAGAUGGCCAACGGUGAGGUCUCCGACGACGGCCGCGCCGUCGAGGUCUCCGGCGGCGGCGACGACACCCUCCCCGCGGUGCUCCGCGGCUUCGUGGACGGCGUCUGGCCGCCGCCCGGCGACGGCGGAGAUCCGCUCCUGCGGCGCCUCCGCGCGGCGACCUGCGAGGCCGCUCCGCGGCUGCGGGACGCCUCCAGGAACUCGGCCCGCGACCUGCUCGCCUGGACCAAGCAGGGCAGCGGCCUCCGCGCCAUCCUCGUCAUCUCGGUCGGAACAAUCACGAUGAUAUCACUGACUGGCCUGCUGAUUUUCAUGUCCUUCCUUCUGGUUGCGACCGCUAAUGCCAUUAUCGUUUCAGUUCUUAUGUCCUUGGCAGCUGCUGGAGGAUUCCUGGCCUUGUUCUUUGCUUGCUUAGUUGCAGUGUAUGUCGGAGCAGUAUCAAUUGCCAUAUUCGUCGUUUCCGCCACUGUUAUCUCUGCAAUUGUUGGAGUCAUGAUUGCUACUGGUUGGAUCGGAUUCUUUUGGAUGAUUUGGUUUGCCGCAAGGAAGAGCCUGGACCUUACCAAGCACUCAAUCGGCAUGACGACCUCUGCUAUGCAGUCGUAUUCGGCUUCCCGGAGUGUGGGGCAGAAGCUCACAGACUGACUGAGAUAGCAGCAACUGGUUUAGCCCCAAUGCUCUGUAUGUUAUCGCGUCGUCUUGCCGCCUCGCUGCCCUGCUGUUGUUGUGUUAUAUGUGCUGCCUAAAGCGUGCCGUAUGUGUAUCACUUAUUUCGAGUAGAGGACAUGAAUCCGUGUAUAGUUAUCCCGGUUUAGCGUAAGGUACCACCACUCGCCCCUGAACUUUCGGCACCCUGUGUUGUAGUAUACUCAUAGUAACGAAUAAGGCAAUAAUGCCGGCUGUGUUGGCGAGUGCGGGCUAGGUUGUGGUUUUGUGCUGUAAAUGAAGCUAUUCUGUCUGGCUCUGUUGUUGAGGCAUAGAGGAAUGAAUAAAACGUACUGUAGUUGUCAAUUUCAUUUCUGGUAACAUGAACAUACUGAUCAGUAGCCCUAGCAUUCAGUCCUGGCUUCUUGGCCACUUGAAUAGAGGAGACAGAUGUACAUACACAGGUAGACUGACCGACCAAUCGAUCACGCAAGGCGGUCUUGGCGGUGCGGCGUUGAGAUCGAUGGUCGAUCAUCGCCUCUUAGCGGUCGCGGCCGACGAGGGAGAGGAGGAAGGUCCGGUAGUUGCCGGAGGUCUCGGAGUGGAUGGCGUCGGCCAGCGAGCGCUUGUACUUCUUGUGGUACUCGGCCUUGAUGUACUGCAUGUCCACCUCCGCCCUGGUGACCACCACCCGUAUCAGCGUCGUGUCGCUUGUGCCCAGCCCCUUCAUCGCCUUGUGCAGCGCCUUGGCGAAGUACCUCGCCGGGCUCUCGGCGCACCGGAGGAUCGUCAGCAGCCCCAACUCGAAGGUGCCCGACGUCUCGCUCUUCACAGCCUGCGACAAUGCAUAUUGCAAAGCCUGAGAAAUUUGCACAUGGAGUUUCAAGCAAAGCUGGAGAUGAAGGCCACCUUGUCCAGGGAGCGCGCGUAGAGGUGGUGGUAGGCGUCGGCGACGGCGGCGAGGUGCGCCCAGCUGCGCUCGGUGAAGACGCGGAUGAAGGCCCGCUCGUCGGUGCCCAGCCGCUUCUCGCCGGCGCGGUAGAGCUCCCUCGCGUCGCGCGCCGCCGCCGACGGGUCCACCUCCGGGCCCUCGUACCGCGGGAUGCCCAGGUAGGCCAGCAGAAGCUGCAUCCAGCCACCAGCAACACACAAAAUGAUGAUAGGUUCAAACACUGCACAGAUGAGCGUAUGCGUAUCGAUGGUGCUGUGGAGGCAAACAAAGACGUACCUUCUGGUGGUCGCCGUAGGUGCGCUCGGUGACGUCCUGCUCGAGGUAGCAGCCGAAGCGGGCGCGGUAGGCCUGCUUCAUGAUCUGCAGCUGCGACGGCGUCCGGGAGCAGAUCACCUCCGUGGCGGCGCGCAGGUCGGCGAUGUCGCCGUUGAGGGACUGGUUCAGUAUCGUGGCGUCGCGGCCCACGGGGUCCAGCACCCACAGCAGCAUCGCCUUCUGCACAAGGAACCGGCACCCCCAAGCAGAGAGGUCAUUUCGGGAGCAAAUACUAUGCUAUGCUUCUUCUUUUUUCGAAAAGGGAUACUAUACUAUGCUAUGCUGUCUGUGUGACUUAUCAUUUUGCAUGAUAUUUGCUGGGUGAUUUAUAAAUCAUUUUGCAGUUUGCAUGCCUUGUGGUUCCCGCUGAGCUCGGUCGAUAGGCGAUGGUAGAGGUCCUGGUGGUAUAUGGCCCUGUACUCCUGCAUGAUGAGCCCGCGCUGCACCGCGUCGCGGUGCGCCAGGAUGUUGAUCACCGUCGUGCUGUCGCACCCAAAACCUGCAAUACCAAC